rnacentral:rRNA from 1 species
CUACGGGAGGCAGCAGUGGGGAAUAUUGCACAAUGGGCGCAAGCCUGAUGCAGCAACGCCGCGUGAACGAAGAAGGUUUUCGGAUCGUAAAGUUCUUUUCUUGGGGAAGAAACCAUGACGGUACCCAAGGAAUAAGCACCGGCUAACUACGUGCCAGCAGCCGCGGUAAUACGUAGGGUGCAAGCGUUAUCCGGAAUCACUGGGCGUAAAGGGUGCGUAGGCGGUUUUGCAAGUCAGAAGUGAAAGGCAAUGGCUCAACCAUUGUAAGCUUUUGAAACUGUAAGACUUGAAUGCAGGAGAGGUAAGUGGAAUUCCUAGUGUAGCGGUGAAAUGCGUAGAUAUUAGGAGGAACACCAGUGGCGAAGGCGACUUACUGGACUGUUAUUGACGCUGAGGCACGAAAGCGUGGGGAGCGAACAGGAUUAGAUACCCUGGUAGUC